rnacentral:rRNA from 1 species
GACGAACGCUGGCGGCGUGCUUAACACAUGCAAGUCGAGCGGUAAGGCCCUUUCGGGGGUACACGAGCGGCGAACGGGUGAGUAACACGUGGGUGACCUGCCCUUAGCUCUGGGAUAAGCCUGGGAAACUGGGUCUAAUACCGGAUAUGACUCCAUGACGCAUGUUGUGGGGUGGAAAGCCUUGUGCGGCUAGGGAUGGGCCCGCGGCCUAUCAGCUUGUUGGUGGGGUGAUGGCCUACCAAGGCGACGACGGGUAGCCGGCCUGAGAGGGCGACCGGCCACACUGGGACUGAGACACGGCCCAGACUCCUACGGGAGGCAGCAGUGGGGAAUCUUGCGCAAUGGGCGAAGCCUGACGCAGCGACGCCGCGUGAGGGAUGAC